GCCCAGCCGUAAACUUUUAUCUACAUCCAAUCGCCAGGGAACUACGAGCUAAGCUUAAAACCCAAAGGACUUGACGGUACCCCAUAUCCCCCUAGAGGAGCCUGUCCUGUAAUCGAUAAUCCACGUUUAACCUCACCACCUCUUGUUAAUCAGCCUGUAUACCUCCGUCGUCAGCUUACCACGUGAGCGCCUAUUAGUGAGCCUAAUGUUUAUUCACCAAUACGUCAGGUCAAGGUGCAGCAAAUGAGAUGGGAAGAGAUGGGCUACACUCUCUAUUAUAGAGUAGACGAAAAACUACUUAUGAAAUCUAGUUGGAAGGCGGAUUUAGCAGUAAAAAGGAAUCAGAAUGUCCAUUUUAACUCGGCACUGGGGUGUGU
rnacentral:rRNA from 1 species